UACGUAGGAGGCAAGCGUUGUCCGGAAUUACUGGGCGUAAAGCGCGUGUAGGUGGUGGGACAAGUCUGCUGUGAAAGCGCCUGGCUUAACCGGGCGAGGUCGGCGGAAACUGUCCGACUCGAGGACGGUAGAGGGGGGUGGAAUUCCCGGUGUAGUGGUGAAAUGCGUAGAGAUCGGGAGGAACACCUGUGGCGAAGGCGGCCCCCUGGGCCGACACUGACACUGAGAGACGAAAGCUAGGGGAGCGAAUGGG
rnacentral:rRNA from 1 species